GUCGCUCUAGAGAAAUGGUUAACUCACCCGCCUCCUAAGCGGGAGAUUCUCGGUUCGAGUCCGGGGAGUGAUG